ensembl:snRNA U6 U6 spliceosomal RNA
GUGCUCAUUUAGGCAGUGUAUGUACUAAAAUUGGAAUGAUACAGAGAAGAUUAGUAUGGCCCCUGCACAAACAAGUAUGACAUGUAAAUUCAUGAAGCAUUCCAUAUUUUU